GCAGAGGUAGCUCAGCGCUAGAGCGCCGGCCUUGUAAGUCGGAUGCCGAGGGUUAAACUCCCUCCCCCUGCU
rnacentral:tRNA from 1 species